AAAAUUAAAAGAAAUAAACAUUUCAAAUAGAUCAGUCUGUGUGUAAUGAAUGUAUAUAAUAUACAAGUUUCACUUUUUGAAUGGAAUGAGUGAAAGAAAUCAACUUCUUGAUGAUAUUUUAAUUAUAUGACCAGCACCUGUAAUUUGGUUUGCAGCAAAACACAUUUACAUUUUUUCAAACAGACUGUUAUGUAACAGGUCGGUUCAUAAUGCUUUAAACUGAGGAAAAAAAUACUAACGAGUUUUGGAUAAAAAAAAUUUAGAGAUUGACUAUGUGAAUACCGUAAUUGCUCUUUACUAAGUAAUUUUGCUAUGUUACAUUAUAGCCUUUAAAGAACACAGUAAGACAGUUAUCAUGAAUGGAGCGGAAGGUGUCUUUGUAUUUAUUUAUCUCACUCUUGUAUGUUUUAUGUAUUUUUGUAUUUACGUGCACAGAUUUGUGACUUGCACAUAAAAUGUGAAGUACAAGAACAAUAAUAAAAUGGAGCCAUGUUUAUUUGACCCAGCCACAGACAUGUGAUAGAUGCCCGAUUUCCUUCCUCUUCAUGUUUUUUAUAUUCAUUUCUCAUUCAUUUCUGUUUCUUCGGGAUUGUAUUGGUUAUUAUCAAGUAAGUUAUCAAGGUAGCAUUUAAUGCAUGUAAUUGUCAUUAUAAAAGAUGAAAAUAUGCGCAAAUGAUAACAGUAUUUUUAUCCACACUACCAGUCAGAAGGUUUUAAAGAAUUAUCUCUGCUCACCUAUGUAUUCAAUACAGAAAAUAGUAAACAUAUUUAAAAAUUGUACUGUUUUACUGUACUUUGAACAAAAUAAAUGCAGGCUUGGUGAGUAGAUUUGACAAAAAAAAAAAAAAAUUUGGAAAAAAAAAAUCCUGCUGUACAAAAACGUUUGACUGGUAGUGUAUGUAAAACCCAACAUGUGAGAGACAAUAAAAUACAAACAUUUUAGCAGAUUAUUAGUUCAUGUUCAUUCACAUAUGUGAAAAUAUAUCAAUGUUGUGGCAUUUCUAACCAUUCAAAUAAACAAUAAUCCUUAGACAUUAUUAGGAAUAGUAAAGGAAAUGUUCAGAAAAGUUUUGCAUCACAUCACUUGUUCACCAGUGGAUCCUCUGCAGUGAAUGGGUGCCGUCAGAAUGAGAGUCCAAACAGCUGAUAAAAACAUCACAGUAAUCCACAGGACUCCAGUCCAUCAGUUAACAUCUUGUGAACCAAAAAAAUAAAAUAAAAAAAAUGUUAGUAAAAAACAAACAAACAUCUAGGCCUACAUCUUGAAUUGCCUGAGGUUGAAUACAUUUUAUAAAUGUAAUAAAACAUUGUAUUUAAUUCACAAAUGUUAUUUACACUUAUGUUGUUUCCACUUUUUAAUAAGGUGGCAAAUUAUAAUACCUAUAAGGUGAUAUUGGGGGAAUUUCUUUCUUCUGAUUUAUACAUUCUCAUGUUCAUUCUCACCUUCACACAUGCCAUCCUGUUGAGUCUGUGUUAUAGUGAAACGUUAGCGUGCUAAACAUUAAUAAGCAUUAGCAAACCUUUCUUAUCAUAUUCAUGUUUUGGUAUGGCUAAAAUGAAAUCAUACUGGUGUACAGACAGACUGUGACUGUCCACACAGACCUGAGAAGAAACUCUGGACGGAGAGGAGAAAAGUGCAGGGAAGGUGAAUGUAGGAAACAGUGGAACUAAGCAAGUGAAGACAUUUUUUGGUUAUAAAUUCACUAAACCACGGCUUCAUGGGGCUUAUUGUUUAAGUUUUUAAAACAGUCUCAGCUCUGUGUUUAGCGCUUAUGGUUGGCUAUAGAGGAAUAUUUAAAGCGCGGGACUCAUCUGUUCACUUCGCGGGGAGUAAGGAGUGUGUUAUCAACAGUUUACCGUGAGUUUAGUUGUUUAUAGGCUUUUAUCGUGUUUCUUAUGGGACGGAGAGACAACACUUAAACCCACCGACCACACGGAGCCAUCUUCUCCUGAGGAGACGCCUGUAGCUGUCGGUGAAGAGGAGAAAAGACGAGAAGAAGAGGCAUAAAAAGAGCAGGUUUCUUCUGUUGUUUCUCUCCUCACAAAUCCACCAAAGCUCAGAGAGAGCAGGACACUGAUGUGUCUCCAUCCAGGAGCUGGACUGAUGCUAAAUCAACAUGAACAUCUGAGAGUCUGUUCAUUGCUCACACACCACCAUCACAUUAUACAAAUGCAGUUAACGGUGUUUAGAUCAGACUUCUCUGGUGUUGACUUCUGUAGAGGACACUGAUCCUCAGGAGUCUCCUUCCAGUCCUCCUGAAGACCCCUCACUGCAGAGGAGCACAUGCAGGACGUCCAGCCUCAAGAUCAGGACAGUCCAGUCAGUCCUUCACAUCCGAGACAUCUGGACUGUGACGAGAUCACGAGGAGUGAGGAACAAGAAUCACCUGAAGACUCCCUGUAAUGAGAUAUCACUCUCCUCACUGGAUUUGGCAAGUCUUUCCUUGCUCUUCGUGAAAAAGUGUCAGUUCCAAAGUAUGAUACCAUCAUAUUUUGUUACCCAGUCUCUUAUGAAGAAAUUGUCCUCGCUUUGAAAUCAACAUGAUCACAUCAUGUAACAUCAUAAUCAGUGUCGUCUUCUACAGGUUUCAGGCCAUCUGCAAUGAAUGACACAGCACCAGGCUUCGAACCUAACUGUUUAAAUCCUUAAGUCCCGUUCACAACGAGAACGAAAACUAUAAAGGUAACAAUAUUAGCAUCCACACCAGCGAAUGAUAUCGUCUCUUUAUUAUAAGUGCACAUGCGUCUGCCGCUUUAAAUUCUCGAGCUCAUUACAGCAGGAUGGAUUCUGAUUGGCUGUAUCGUUUCUCUGUGUCUUUACUGUUAUAGUUGUGGUGUGGACUCUGCUAUUCUUUAAUAUUGAGAAUGAUUUUUUGAACUAUAUCUUUAUCGUUAUAGUUAUUGUCCUUGGUGUGAACCGGUGUGAACGGGCCUUUAAACCCUCCAGAUUACAUUAAUAACAU